AUUGAACGCUGGCGGCAGGCCUAACACAUGCAAGUCGAGCGGCAGCGGAAAGUAGCUUGCUACUUUGCCGGCGAGCGGCGGACGGGUGAGUAAUGUCUGGGAAACUGCCUGAUGGAGGGGGAUAACUACUGGAAACGGUAGCUAAUACCGCAUAACGUCGCAAGACCAAAGAGGGGGACCUUCGGGCCUCUUGCCAUCAGAUGUGCCCAGAUGGGAUUAGCUAGUAGGUGGGGUAACGGCUCACCUAGGCGACGAUCCCUAGCUGGUCUGAGAGGAUGACCAGCCACACUGGAACUGAGACACGGUCCAGACUCCUACGGGAGGCAGCAGUGGGGAAUAUUGCACAAUGGGUGCAAGCCUGAUGCAGCCAUGCCGCGUGUAUGAAGAAGGCCUUCGGGUUGUAAAGUACUUUCAGCGGGGAGGAAGGCGUUGAGGUUAAUAACCUCAGCGAUUGACGUUACCCGCAGAAGAAGCACCGGCUAACUCCGUGCCAGCCGCCGCCCGUAA
rnacentral:rRNA from 1 species